UUUACAACACUGCAACGCCAGUCAGUCGCAAAAUGCCUCUUCCCCCACCCGCCUUGGGCGUGUGGGAAACACACUGUUGGGGGCUGGGGGCUAAUUUCAGUCUCGCUUUCCAAAACAAAGAUUGAAAAAAAAGAGAACAAGCAGUCAAUCUGACUUGAAGACUCUGGGUGUUGAAGAGAAAUGAUUCGUCAGGCACAAAGCACGUAAUGGAGACCAGGAAGGAGUGAAAGCAGAUCAGUUAACAGUGCCACUACACCGCUGUUCCCGAUCGAAUCCACUGAGUCCUAAGAAUCAAAGCACCUCUGUCUUCGAGGUUGGUUCGUGGAGAUUCCUCGAUGCCCUUCAUCUUUGCGUUCCGUGGGGUCAACCUUCCGCGAUUGAUGUUAUGUCCCAAGAACAUCACCUCUGCUUUCACGAAUUCCGUUUUGUUUUAGUUUAUCACCAGUUUUGCUUCUCGUAGUCGUUCAAAGAGCUCUGCCCACUGUACCAUGUGAUCUUUCCAGGACUUACUAAAGAUCACCACAUCGUCCAAGCAGACAGCACAGCCUGUUAACCCAGCCACCACUCUGUUCAUGGGUCUUUGGAGUGUGGCAGGUGCGUUCUUCAUUCCAAAAGGCUCCACUUUAAAUUGAUAGAGCCCAUUUUGCGUUACAAGCACAGAAACUUCUUUCACCGUCUCUGAUAAAGGUACCUGCCAGUAACCAUGCAUUCAGCCCAACUUGAUGAUGUCACUGGCUUGUCCAACUUUCGCGAUACAGUCCUCCAGUCUCGGAAUUGGGUAUGAAUCUGAUUUUAUAAUCAUGAUUUGGAGAUGUCAGUGUUGGAUUGGGGUUGGACUAUAACCUGGUGCUGUGUGAUUUUUAACUUUGAUUUUGUGGCGGCGUUGACCUUCCGGUAAUCCAUGCCGAAUCACCGAGCCCUGUCUGUUUUGGGAACUAAGACAAUCAGUGAACUCCACUCACUCUGGUUUAGUUCGAUGAAGACCUUGUUGGACAUGGCCUCCACCUCCAUCUGGACCUGUCUGGGUUUGAAACGAUUAAGCCGAUAGGAAUGUUGUUUUAUUUGAGCAGUAUUCCCAGCAUCUACUUCAUGUACAACAGCAUUCGUCCUCCCCAUCUUAUACUGCAGUCACAAAUCUUUCAGCUGUGUUCCACAUUCCUGAGACAGGCAGCUGACUAACCCUGCCCACUCCUCAAGGAAUUCUUUAUUUUUUAAUCUAUUUUGAGGCACCUCAAAAUCCACAUCAUCUAUAUUUGAUUCCUCACUCUGCGGAGCAGUAACUAACACUUGUUCCUCCAGUUCUUUCUCUCUAAUGUAAUACAGUUCCAACACGUUCAACUCAAUACCAUUUUUUUCUAUUUGACAUCUUUACUAAAUAGUUCACCUGCCUCAACCUUUUGUCAAUCUGAUAGGGACCCCCAAACCUGGCUUUGAAGGGAUUGCCUCUCACUGGUAACAGUACUAAGAUGUUAUCCCCUCGGGAAAAUGUCCGAGUCUCAGAGCUUUUAUCUGCCACCUGCUUCAUUCUACACUGUGCCCUCUUUAGGUGCUGUUUAGUGAACUCACCUACUCGAUUUAGUCUCCCUCAACCCCUGACACUAACCUAAGUGUGAGAUCUCCAACUUUGGCCCUGUCAAUUUUUCUUUAAUUAAUUUCAAAGGACCUCUCACUUCAUGUCCGAAUAUUAACCCGAAGGGAGUGAACUGAGUAGAUUUGUUUGGGGCAUCCCUAAUGGCAAACGCUACGAAUGGGACACCUUUAUCCCAAUCAUUCGGGUAAUCCUUACAAUAUGUUCUCAACAUGGUCUUCAAGAUCUGAUGCCACCUUUCCGAAGCUCCCUGGAAUUCAGGAUGAUGCGCACUGGAUUUAAAGUGCUGUUUACCUAAGCUAUCUGUAACCUCAUUAAACAGCCUAGCAGUAAAAUGUGACCCUUGGUGCGACUGAAUCUCUCUGGGUCACCCAUACCGUGUGAAGAAAGCUACUAACUCCUCUGCUACCCUUUUAGCCUUGAUAUUCCACAAUGGAAUUUCCUCGGAAAAUCUGAUAGACACAUCCAUUCUGGUUAACAAGUACUGGUUCCCACUUUUAGUUCUCAGGAAGGGACCUACACAAUCAAUUAUAACCCGUGUGAAAGAUUC